GACGAACGCUGGCGGCGUGCUUAACACAUGCAAGUCGAGCGGUAAGGCCCUUCGGGUACGACGAGCGGCGAACGGGUGAGUAACACGUGGGUGACCUGCCUUUAGCUCUGGGAUAAGCCUGGGAAACUGGGUCUAAUACCGGAUAUGACCUCAUGACGCAUGUUGUGGGGUGGAAAGCCUUGUGCGGCUAGAGAUGGGCCCGCGGCCUAUCAGCUUGUUGGUGGGGUGAUGGCCACCAAGGCGACGACGGGUAGCCGGCCUGAGAGGGCGACCGGCCACACCGGGACGUGAGACACGGCCCAGACUCCUACGGGAGGCAGCAGUGGGGAAUCUUGCGCAAUGGGCGAAAGCCUGACGCAGCGACGCCGCGUGA
rnacentral:rRNA from 1 species